rnacentral:rRNA from 1 species
UACGUAGGGGGCAAGCGUUGUCCGGAUUUAUUGGGAGUAAAGAGCGUGUAGGCGGCCAAGCAGGUCAGCUGUGAAAACUCGAGGCUCAACCUCGAGACGUCGGUUGAAACCGCUUGGCUAGAGUCCGGAAGAGGAGAGUGGAAUUCCCGGUGUAGCGGUGAAAUGCGCAGAUAUCGGGAAGAACACCCGUGGCGAAGGCGGCUCUCUGGGACGGUACUGACGCUGAGACGCGAAAGCGUGGGGAGCGAACAGG